UGCCUCUGCCAUUAUCCUUGUUCAGGCUCUGAUUAUUACCCUGGCUGUUGAGAUAAAGGAUCCUUUGUCUAACGUCAACGUCCUCUAAACCACUCUCCAGGCAAUCACCAAGCCUGCACUAGGCCACCAGGCAUCCCUUAUGGUCAUAACUCCAUGUCAACUCCCUCUAAGCAGGUAUGACUUUCUGCUUUGCUAGAAGAAAUACUUGUUACAGUGCAGAGAUCUCUCCAGAAACAUCAGCCACUGUCAGAAAUAACAUUCUCCAUUUUGUCUACUUGUCCACCAUCACACCCUGCAAACUACAGCUUGUGCAUACAAUGCAGAAUCUUACUUCCAAGAUGCCAAACUCCUUUCUUGGCAGAUACAAAUAAAUCAAGAGCUACAUAUACUCUAACAAUCAUUCCAAUGGUAUCUACUUUUCUCAGACAUCAGUCUUCUACUUGUAACAUUUCUAAAAUUUGUCACUUUGUAAGAAUAAAUUGCUCUCCAAAGGCCAAAUAAACCAGAAAAAGGACUCCUCAAA